ACAAACCUAUCUCUAUCAAAAUUGUGUUGAUACACUAAUCGUAGACGUGCGGAUUGAUAGAAAAACGAGUUAUCGAAAAAUGUUUCCAAAAAUUUUCGAUUAUUGAAGAUUAUCCCCUACCAAGAGGGGUUUACCUUUGUCAGGCCACAAAACAAAAUAGAAGAAAGGGGAAAAAUAUAACCCACAUUUGCGAUUACAAAAUUAAUAGCUUUAUUGUAUGCCACAAUAAAUUCCUAUGUGCAACUGGCUGAUUUGAAGAUGCACGAAAUUAUAAUUCAUGACAAACAUGAUAUAUCUACAUUAUGAAGUUAACUUAUCAGUCCAUAAUGAUAGAAUGCGCAGUGGAGUGAAGGUGCGUAUUAAAGUUACAUACAACAAGGCUUACGAAAAAUAUGUCUGUUGAAUGCAGGUAUACACGUAAAAAUAUUUAUUCUUUUCAGAACAGUCUCAAACUCG